GUCUAAGGCCAUUGGUUUGUUAGAUGUGGAUGUGUAUGGCCCUUCAAUUCCAAAGAUGAUGAAUCUGAAAGGAAAUCCAGAAUUGUCACAGAGCAACUUAAUGCGACCUCUUUUGAAUUAUGGUAUUGCUUGCAUGUCCAUGGGCUUCCUGGUUGAAGAGACUGCACCAGUUGUUUGGAGAGGCCUUAUGGUAAUGUCAGCCAUUGAGAAACUGUUAAGGCAGGUAAGAAAAUUGCAUUAAGUAUUAUUUUAUUAUUGGUAUACUGUGGUUAAUAUUUACUGAUUGGAGAGUCAUUAAAAUUUGCAGUCAGGUUUGAGAUGUUUUACAAAAGAAUCCAGUUGAUAGACUGAAUUUGUAAUGCGUUGUGUGGUGCCAAGCCCAAAUUUCACUGUCACAUGAUUAAAUCUUUCCCAUUGCUUAUAAGUACUAAAAUCUAAUGUCUUAUUUUAUAUUGUUCUGUUUCUCUGUUGUGGCUGCAGUAAGACAAGGAAAUCUAUUUUAUGAGUAAUCUGCCUUCUUUAGAUUUAUGGUUAAUCUCAUUGUGGCUAACCAAUAUUGAGUUAUAAGGGCACUGUAGAAAUUCCUUAGAUAUAGAAAAAAACCUAUAUAAACCAUGGUGCUUAUGAUUUAAAAUUGCUUCAGAACAAAGUGAAAUUUUAUUUUACUCUCAGUACCUACGGCUGCAUAUUUAUGUAUAUAAUGUCUGCCCAGUCAACUCUAAUUCAUCCUUAAGAUGGGCUAUGUGUUAUUUAUGGGAAUAAGUUUUAUUUUUUCCUAGUAGCUGUGAAUUUAUAAUUAAUUAUGUUCUAGGUAAAUAUUGUAAGUACUUUGAAUUUCUCCGCUGACUUAAAACACUUACCCCUUAUUUAUUCAGGAUUUACGUUGGGCCAGACACCAUGCCAUGGGUUAAGAAUUUGAAUCAUAGGUAUCUAGUUGUGGAAGUAAAUAGAUGAAAUAUGUCUUGAACUCUGAAGCUUAUCUUUUUUCAUUGUAAUGUCUUUUUUUCUGCUGUUCGAGUUCUGAUAAAUGUGCUCUUUGACCUUUGGUCCUGGACUCCUCCUGUGUUCUUAGCACAAUUAAGUCUCUCUGCUGCAUUUCUUCCCCUCUUAUACUCAGAUCUCAUAGUUGGUUAUUACAGUUAUACUCCCCAAAACACCCCUUCCAUCCCUGUUACUUUUUUUUUUUUUUUUUUUUUUGCUUUUUAGGGCUGCACUUGCGGCAUAUGGAGGUUCCCAGGCCAGGUGUCCAAUUGAAGCUACAGCUGCUGGGCCUACACCACAGCCAUAGCAACACAGGAUCCGAGCCAUGUCUGUGACCUAUACCACAGCUCAUGGCAACACCAGAUCCUUAACCCACUUAACGAGGCCAGGGAUCGAACCCACAACCUCAUGAUUCCUGGUUGGAUUCAUUUCUGCUGCACCAUGAUGGAAACUCCGUACCAGUUACUUUGUAAUCUUGACCUUUAUUUGUGUGGAUUAAGUCAACUGUUUUUGUUUGAGGAAAAUUCUAAAACAAUCUUUAUUUAGUUUACAAGUUUUUUUUCCAUCUGUGAAAAAAUCUUUUUAAAUUUUAUAAUGAUUUUUAUUUUUUCCAUUAUAGCUGGUUUACAGUGUUCUGUCAAUUUUCUACUGUACAGUAAGGUGACCCAGUUACACAUACAUGUAUACAUUCUAAUAAAUUUAGAGUCAAAGGAAAUUUGGAAACACUCAAAGGAGAAUUCUGAUUUUAAUAUUAAUAUUCCCCCUCCUAUGUUAGUGUUAUAAUUAUCAACAGGAAAUGAUUUAGAGUUCCUCCUAAGGCUUUAUGGAUGGCCAUAAGAAGGUGGAAGUACUUCCACUUUCCACAGUGACCAGGCAGUUAGAGAUCCAAGUCAGUGAGAAGAGACACAGAAAACCAGGCCGAGGGUCGGUGUUUCCAGCUCAGGCAUGUAGAAUCUUCAUAGCCUGUCCCCAGUAAGGGGUGUGCAAGUUCUCUCUUUUCUGUCCUUUUUAAAUCUCAGGGACCCUUUUCCAUCUCAAAUUCCAUCAGGUGACAAAAGCAUCUCUGCAAAUUAACCCUUGAGCCAGGAAGAGAGAAAGCAAGUAUGCACCUGCCCUCUGAAGGGCAAAGAGAAUUACCCAUAGAAUAAGUGCGAUUAAACCUGGCAGUGCAAAUAAUUAGGCUGCAGAAAGAUUGCACCUAAAGCUCACAGUUAGAUUUAGUAACUGCUUUUAUAAAUGAAGAAAAUAUUUUGAGACCAGAGUUGAGAGGAUCAAUAGUCUGAAGGAACCAGAGUGUGUGUGUGUGUGUAUGUGUGUGGUGGAGUGUUGGGGAAGAGAGGUGGGGGUCAAGAUCUCAAUUCCAUAUUCUCAUUCAGUGUCCCACCACAACCCCAGUGUUUUUAAUCUACUGCUGAAUACUGUCAGAGAAUAUAGAUUAAUUGUGUUCAUUGCUGGCAUUAGACGUUUUUGAUUUUUGAAUUUAGCCAUGCUCUCAACAUUAUAGUCAUCUGAUUUUAUUCAUUGUUCUCAACAUUUAUUAAAUGUUCAGCUUAAAAAAAUACUUAGGGAAUUUGGUAGUCUGGCAGAGGGUCUAGUGAAGAUAGAUUUGAGUUUCUGAUACUUAAAUUGUAUGAAAGUCACAAUUUACUCUGUUAAGUGAUGAAGAUACAUUUUUAGCAAACAUACUGCAAAAUAUCAAUGACCGUCAAGAGUGAGAAGAUUGAUACAUUUCUUAUUGGGAUACUUCAGCUAUCUUUUAAGAUAUUAGGAUAUUGGACUGCAUUUUUUGAUGUACAGUCUUUUGUAAAGUUGCUUCUGUCAUCUGCACAUUGUUUUUUUUUUUUUUUUUUUUUGGCAGCAUGCAGAAGUUCCUGGGUCAGGGAUUCAACCUGCACCACAGCAUGACCCAAACCACAGCAGUGACUAUGCUGGGUCCUUAGCCUGCUGAGACACCAGGCUACUCUUGUCAUCUGCAUGUUUUAAUAGGAGCUAAAACCUGACAUUUUUGGAUCAUACUGUGACUAGUGCUAAUCACCUGUUUGUUAAGGAGUGUUUUUUGUUUUUGUUUUGCUUUAGAAAGCAGACCACCAUCUGGUAAAUUUAACAUCCUUAACAUCUAUGUAGCAGUUCGUUGUGGAGAGUACCUGAGUCAUUGGCUGAUUAAAAGAAUUGAAUAUACCAUAUAUAUAGAAGAGUGUACAAAUCAUACAUGUCCAGAUUAUCUCAAAGUGAAAACACCUUUAUGAUCAUCAUUUGGGAUAAGAUAAUAGAAUACCAAUGUCCCAGAAGCUCUUCUUGUGUCCCUUCUUGGUUAUUACUUUGUGGGGAGAAGAAAGAUAAAUACUUGUGGUCAGUCUGCCAUCUUGAAUUAGAAUCUGGUUUAAAGUUUUUUUUUCCCUCGCCCUUAUUAUAUUUUAUUUAGUUAAACUUGUACAUAUAAUGGGAUACACAGAUCUUAUAAUGUACAGUCUAAUGACUUUUGAUAAACAUAUAUAACUAUUUAACCAUACCCCAAUCAAAAUAGAGAACAUUUGGAGUUCCUGUCAUGGCGCAGUGGUUAACAAAUCCGACUGGGAACCAUGAGGUUGUGGGUUCGAUCCCUGGCCUUGCUCAGUGGGUUAAGGAUCCGGCAUUGCUAUGCGUUGUGGGUGGGUUGCAGACACGGCUCGGAUCCCGCGUUGCUGUGGCUCUGGUGUAGGCCGGCAGCUAUAGCUCUGAUUCGACCCCUAGCCUGGGAACCUCCAUAUGCCAUGGGAGCGGCCCAAGAAAUGGCAAAAAAGACAAAAGAAACCCCCCAAAAACAAACAAACAAAAAAAAA
rnacentral:lncRNA from 1 species